rnacentral:rRNA from 1 species
AUACGUAGGUGACAAGCGUUGUCCGGAUUUACUGGGUGUAAAGGGCGCGUAGGCGGGAUAGCAAGUCAGUCGUGAAAUACCGAGGCUCAACCUCGGGGCUGCGAUUGAAACUGUUAUUCUUGAGUAUCGGAGAGGAAAGCGGAAUUCCUAGUGUAGCGGUGAAAUGCGUAGAUAUUAGGAGGAACACCAGUGGCGAAGGCGGCUUUCUGGACGACAACUGACGCUGAGGCGCGAAAGUGUGGGGAGC